rnacentral:rRNA from 1 species
UUUUACCUAUGUCCACAGUGUUUCGUUGUUGCCAAUGUCACCCAUGAUAAUGACGCGGGCUGCGAAUUCGUGAAACGGAGGGGAGAGUGGUGUGUCCUCCGAAGGCCUUUCGGGAUCGGUCUAGCUGUACCGUAGGGGCAGCGGCAGCGGCAGCGGCCUGACCCGGCCGGAGGGACUGCUACGAGACGAAUGUCACAAGCUCGCGGACCCGCGCGGCCUCCACGAGUACCCGCGGCCUCAGCACACGGCGUUGACCGAGGCGCAGCGGUGGCCGCUCGGGCUGGAGACCGCGGCACAACUGGACAGGCUGACGAAGCUGGGGUGGUAGCUGUACCACCGGUACCGCACGCGCCGGCAGCUGGCGCGGCUGCCGGCGGAGCUCGUGAAGCGGCGGCUAACAAAGCAGUGGCUGCGCGACGAGAAGAUGUACCGGUUCUCUUGAUUACCCAACUUUUCGGAAGCCGAUCAAUUGACGUACUUUCAGAGUGUGUUUCCGAACCAACGAGACCCGUUCUCUAGAGGGGUAGAGCUCCUUGAACUCGAAUGAUGGACGAGGUAGAUAUAAAGUUACUUCCGACAACCGGUUCGUAAGGGUGUCGACUUCGCCGACGCGGACUUGUUGGCCACCCAGUUACAACUCACACUUCUUGUCAAGCUAUUGGUGGCACGGGAGCUGUAGCGGUCGUUGUACGGACUCGAUGCAGUGGAAGUCGAGAAGCGGUUAGCCGAGGCGUUGUCACGUGAACGACGUUAUGAACUGUUGACGGGGGUGGAGCUCAGGGAACUAGACGCGGUCACGAAGUUGUAGGUGUAGCUACGUCUCGACGCUCGCUUCACGCGUUCCGAAUCUCUGCACUCCGAUGGGUUCCUGAGCUGGUUACUGAUGCUAGUGCUCCGCAUGUAACUCUGCGAGCUCGAAUUAAGGGAAGGUGAAGAAAAACGGGUGCUACCACAAAAAUGCGUCGUUAUGGGGAAGGUACCUAGACUGGUGUCACUACUCCUGCUAGUCCUUCUAGACCUACAUCGAGAACCAGUAAACCGAAAUACUAUCCACCGAUGGUUACCCGUACCCGACUAGCUACCGUUGAGUUCUCUUCAAGUGUUACCAGUAGACCUCAGGACAAACACCGUGCACAGCUUGUACAGCACACACAUACAGAAGGUACUAUUCUUCCGCGCGACCUCAUAUACAACUUCUUUCUUUACUUCCUGGGAGUCGGAGACGUAGACGUGUAUUGGUAGAAGAUAACGAUACAACGAACAGGUCUCCUACUUUUGCUC